UACAUAGGGUGCAAGCGUUGUCCGGAAUUAUUGGGCGUAAAGAGCUCGUAGGUCGUUUGUUACGUCGGAUGUGAAAACCUGAGGCUCAACCUCAGGCCUGCAUUCGAUACGGGCAAACUAGAGUUUGGUAGGGGAGACUGGAAUUCCUGGUGUAGCGGUGGAAUGCGCAGAUAUUAGGAGGAACACCGAUGGCGAAGGCACCUCUCUGGGCCGAUACUGACGCUGAGGAGCGAGAGCGUGGGUAGCAAACAGG
rnacentral:rRNA from 1 species